rnacentral:rRNA from 1 species
UGGCUCAGGAUGAACGCUAGCGGCAGGCUUAACACAUGCAAGUCGAGGGGUAACAGGGUAGCUUGCUAUUGCUGACGACCGGCGCACGGGUGCGUAACGCGUAUACAAUCUACCUUAUACUGGGGUAUAGCCUUUAGAAAUGAAGAUUAAUCCCCCAUAGUCUCUUAGAGUGGCAUCACUUCAAGAGUAAAGGUUACGGUAUAAGAUGAGUAUGCGUUCUAUUAGUUUGUUGGUGUGGUAACGGCUCACCAAGACUACGAUAGAUAGGGGCCCUGAGAGGGGGAUCCCCCACACUGGUACUGAGACACGGACCAGACUCCUACGGGAGGCAGCAGUGAGGAAUAUUGGACAAUGGAGGCAACUCUGAUCCAGCCAUGCCGCGUGCAGGAAGACUGCCCUAUGGGUUGUAAACUGCUUUUAUACAGGAAGAAACACUCCCUCGUGAGGGAGCUUGACGGUACUGUAAGAAUAAGGAUCGGCUAACUCCGUGCCAGCAGCCGCGGUAAUACGGAGGAUCCAAGCGUUAUCCGGAAUCAUUGGGUUUAAAGGGUCCGUAGGUGGAUAAUUAAGUCAGAGGUGAAAUCUUGCAGCUCAACUGUAAAAUUGCCUUUGAUACUGGUUAUCUUGAGUUAUUAUGAAGUAGUUAGAAUAUGUAGUGUAGCGGUGAAAUGCAUAGAUAUUACAUAGAAUACCAAUUGCGAAGGCAGAUUACUAAUAAUCAACUGACACUGAUGGACGAAAGCGUGGGUAGCGAACAGGAUUAGAUACCCUGGUAGUCCACGCCGUAAACGAUGGUCACUAGCUGUUUGGACUUCGGUCUGAGUGGCUAAGCGAAAGUGAUAAGUGACCCACCUGGGGAGUACGUUCGCAAGAAUGAAACUCAAAGGAAUUGACGGGGGCCC